GAUGAACGCUAGCUACAGGCUUAACACAUGCAAGUCGAGGGGCAGCAUGGUCUUAGCUUGCUAAGGCCGAUGGCGACCGGCGCACGGGUGAGUAACACGUAUCCAACCUGCCGUCUACUCUUGGACAGCCUUCUGAAAGGAAGAUUAAUACAAGAUGGCAUCAUGAGUCCGCAUGUUCACAUGAUUAAAGGUAUUCCGGUAGACGAUGGGGAUGCGUUCCAUUAGAUAGUAGGCGGGGUAACGGCCCACCUAGUCUUCGAUGGAUAGGGGUUCUGAGAGGAAGGUCCCCCACAUUGGAACUGAGACACGGUCCAAACUCCUACGGGAGGCAGCAGUGAGGAAUAUUGGUCAAUGGGCGAGAGCCUGAACCAGCCAAGUAGCGUGAAGGACGACUGCCCUAUGGGUUGCAAACUUCUUUUAUAAAGGAAUAAAGUCGGGUAUGGAUACCCGUUUGCAUGUACUUUAUGAAUAAGGAUCGGCUAACUCCGUG
rnacentral:rRNA from 1 species